rnacentral:rRNA from 1 species
AUUGAACGCUGGCGGCAGGCCUAACACAUGCAAGUCGAACGAGCGGCGGACGGGUGAGUAAUGUCUGGGAAUCUGGCUUAUGGAGGGGGAUAACUACGGGAAACUGUAGCUAAUACCGCAUACCAUCGGGUGAGCCCAAGUGGGAUUAGCUAGUUGGUGGGUUAAAGGCUCACCAAGUCGACGAUCUCUCGCUGGUCUGAGAGGAUGAACAGCCACACUGGGACUGAGACACGGCCCAGACUCCUACGGGAGGCAGCAGUGGGGAAUAUUGCACAAUGGGCGCAAGCCUGAUGCAGCCAUGCCGCGUGUAUGAAGAAGGCCUUAGGGUUGUAAAGUACUUUCAGCGGGGAGGCGUUACCCGCAGAAGAAGCACCGGCUAACUCCGUGCCAGCAGCCGCGGUAAUUC